AGAGUUUGAUCCUGGCUCAGGACGAACGCUGGCGGCGUGCUUAACACAUGCAAGUCGAGCGAUGAAGUUUCUUCGGAAAUGGAUUAGCGGCGAGCGGGUGAGGAACACGUGAAGAAUCUGCCCUCCACUUUGGGAUAACACCGGGAAACCGGUGCUAAUACCGAAUAUUGAAACAUAAGUGGCAUCACUGAGUUUUGAAAGAAUUUCGGUGGAGGAUGACUUCGCGGCCUAUCAGCUAGUUGGUGAGGUAAUGGCUCACCAAGGCAACGACGGGUAGCCGGCCUGAGAGGGCGACCGGCCACACUGGGACUAAGACACGGCCCAGACUCCUAGGGGAGGCAGCAGUGGGGAAUAUUGGGCAAUGGAGGAAACUCUGACCCAGCGACGCCGCGUGCGGGAUGAAGGCCUUCGGGUUGUAAACCGCUUUCAGUAGGGAAGAAGCGAAAGUGACGGUACCUACAAAAGAAGCACCGGCUAACUAUGUGCCAGCAGCCGCGGUAAUACAUAGGGUGCAAGCGUUGUCCGGAAUUAUUGGGCGUAAAGAGCUCGUAGGUCGUUUGUUACGUCGGAUGUGAAAACCUGAGGCUCAACCUCAGGCCUGCAUUCGAUACGGGCAAACUAGAGUUUGGUAGGGGAGACUGGAAUUCCUGGUGUAGCGGUGGAAUGCGCAGAUAUCNNGAGGAACACCAAUGGCGAAAGCAGGUCUCUGGGCCAAUACUGACACUGAGGAGCGAAAGUCUGGGGAGCGAACAGGAUUAGAUACCCUGGUAGUCCAGACCGUA
rnacentral:rRNA from 1 species